rnacentral:rRNA from 1 species
GCAUAUCAAUAAGCGGAGGAAAAGAAACCAACAGGGAUUGCCCCAGUAACGGCGAGUGAAGCGGCAACAGCUCAAAUUUGAAAUCUGGUCCCUAGGGCCCGAGUUGUAAUUUGUAGAGGAUGCUUUUGGUGAGGUGCCGCCCGAGUUCCCUGGAACGGGACGCCACAGAGGGUGAGAGCCCCGUCUGGCUGGCCGCCGAGCCUCUGUAAAGCUCCUUCGACGAGUCGAGUAGUUUGGGAAUGCUGCUCAAAAUGGGAGGUAUAUGUCUUCUAAAGCUAAAUAUUGGCCAGAGACCGAUAGCGCACAAGUAGAGUGAUCGAAAGAUGAAAAGCACCUUGAAAAGAGGGUUAAAUAGUACGUGAAAUUGUUGAAAGGGAAGCGC